ACACUGUCCCAUAUCCGCCAAAGCAGCGGGC
rnacentral:sRNA from 1 species